AUUGAACGCUGGCGGCAGGCCUAACACAUGCAAGUCGAACGAGUGGCGGACGGGUGAGUAAUGUCUGGGAAACUGCCUGCUGGAGGGGGAUAACUACUGGAAACGGUAGCUAAUACCGCAUACCUUCGAAUGUGCCCAGAUGGGACUAGCUAGUAGGUGGGGUAACGGCUCACCUAGGCGACGACCCCUAGAUGGUCUGAGAGGAUGACGAGCCAAACUGGAACGGAGCCACGGUCCAGACUCCUACGGGAGGCAGCAGUGGGGAAUAUGGCACAAUGGGCGCAAGCCUGAUGCAGCCAUGCCGCGUGUAUGAAGAAGGCCUUCGGGUUGUAAAGUACUUUCAGCGGGGAGGCGUUACCCGCAGAAGAAGCACCGGCUAACUCCGUGCCAGCAGCCGCGGUAAUUC
rnacentral:rRNA from 1 species